UGGUUAUUUGGUUAAUUGUUGAAUUUUUGAAGCAGAACGAUAAAGUCUACGACAUCUAGUGAAAAUUAAUUUAACUUACUUUUAUUUGAGAUGAUAGAGUUUUACUUUGACCACUUCUUAUUAUCCAAUAGUUCAUAAGUCUACAUUUUUUUACCUGUUUUGUGAUUUUAGUUUGGAUUAGAUUUAAUCAAAAAGUGUUUAACAAUUUCAUGUAUAAUUGUUAUUUACCUUGUCCACUGUGGUUGCAGCGAUUAUAUUUAACAACGUUAAAGCACCAAACGCUACUAUCCCUAAUGUUAUGAUAUCAAUCAAAACAGUUGCCGGUACCAGCUGAUUGUUGGAGUCAAUAGAAGAGUAAAGAAAGUCGAGGCACAAAGAUGUGUAGACAAUCAAUAAAAUAAUGUGAGUAAAUGACCAGAAAACAUUGUGAAUAAGGACAACCAUUGGUACAAUAAUAAUUGCCAACCAAAUUAGUUCAAGGAAGAAGAACUGUUUAUAACUAAUUAUUUCAUUUUUAUACUUGGAAGCAUCAAAGAGAACCAUGUUUGUUAUGAAUAAACCAGCGGUACCAACACAAGUCACCUUAGUCAUGAUGGCAUGAGAUUGGCUCAUAAAGAAAAAGACUCUCCUGAAAUUUGAACAAUUAUAUGAACCCAUAAUUUUAUCCAAAUUGAAAUGCAACUGGCGAAUUUGAUGAAACACCCGAAUUACAGUGAAAUUAUUGUUCCAUUCAAGAUAACCAAUGGACAAGUGGACAAUAAGAAACAUAGAAGCUGCUAUAAAGGAUAAAAGGUUGAACGCAUCUUCACCAGGAAUACCAAGCUGAUGAUCACCCAACAUAAUCUUGAAGAGAUCAGAUGAAAAGAUUGCCAAUAAGAGAAACCUUACUGUGGCUAGAACUGACCACAGGUCCACGACAAUGUUGAGAAUAAUCCUGUUUUUAGAAACCGUCUUUGACUGGGAAUAACCUCGAUUACAAGCAAACCAAAAGUAACCCGAUGAUUCUAACGUGUUUAAAUCUUUGAUUAAAUUGGUUUUAGAGCAUCUUCGAUCUAAAUAGGUAGACCAAUGAUUUAAAAACUGGUUAAACAUAUUUUGCAUCUUUAAUAAGAUGGCGAAAAAUUGAUUCAGUGGUCGAGAUUGUGUUAAUUUUUGACAGUUUCCAAUUUGCAUCAAACCAGAUUCAUACAUAAUCUGUUCUGGUUAAAAAAUCUAAGCUGAGUUUAUUCGUACUCAUUAACUCAUUUUAUUUUUGCUCUUGAAUUUCAACUCUUACAGGUAGACAUGAAGAUGAAAAUUAUUACUAUUAAUCAUGGUCUAUAAAUGUCACGGAAUGCAACUCCAUGUACACUCGAUAUAAAUUUCCUGGUAUAUUUAUUGGCAUUAUCCUGAUAAAUGUAUAUAAUUUUAUUGA